UGGCGGACGGGUGAGUAAUGUCUGGGAAACUGCCUGAUGGAGGGGGAUAACUACUGGAAACGGUAGCUAAUACCGCAUAACGUCGCAAGACCAAAGAGGGGGACCUUCGGGCCUCUUGCCAUCGGAUGUGCCCAGAUGGGAUUAGCUAGUAGGUGGGGUAACGGCUCACCUAGGCGACGAUCCCUAGCUGGUCUGAGAGGAUGACCAGCCACACUGGAACUGAGACACGGUCCAGACUCCUACGGGAGGCAGCAG
rnacentral:rRNA from 1 species